UACAGAGGUGGCAAGCGUUGUUCGGAAUUACUGGGCGUAAAGGGCGCGUAGGCGGCCUUCUAAGUCAGACGUGAAAUCCCCCGGCUUAACCUGGGAACUGCGUCUGAUACUGGAGAGCUUGAGUGCGGGAGAGGGAUGUGGAAUUCCAGGUGUAGCGGUGAAAUGCGUAGAUAUCUGGAGGAACACCGGUGGCGAAGGCGGCAUCCUGGACCGACACUGACGCUGAGGCGCGAAAGCUAGGGUAGCAAACGGG
rnacentral:rRNA from 1 species